CGCACCAUCGCAGGAUAGACGCCGGGUUCUCGCAGCCUCAUCUCCUCCCCAUCACUCGACACACAUGGACAAGAAGGCUUUGCGCAGGGCUCAGCAGGCAUCGCGGGCGGCGUUCCUACGAAAGGAAGCGUCUCAACGCCAAAAGGCAGCCAACACCGUUGUCGAGCAGAAGCUGAGGGACAUCGAGCAAGGCGUCGUCCCGGCAUCUGUGACCGAGGCAGACUUCUUGCUGCACCGCUCAGCUGAGGUGAAUACAGCAAGCGAGCUAUUUGACGUCGCCCGCCGGCGCCAGGCUCUCGGUGGCGAAGGCGAAGCCUUGGAUCGAUGGAGCGAGCUGGCAGCCGAGCUGCCGAGUCACCCACACUCAUCGGCAUCCCCCGCCGACGCAUUUAAAGUUACAGAGGAGGCGAGCGAUGUUCGCGGCGCUGGCGUGGUGUCUGCGCCGGCCUCGGCGGUGGCGAUGGACGCGACAUCACGACCCCUCUCCUCUGCAGGGUAUGUAGCGAUGAGUGAGGCAGAGGUGGCGGAGCGAGUGGCGAGGCACGCCUAUGUCCGGGAGAAGACCUUCGCCGAGCUCCAGGAGGAUCGUGCGGCUGCACUGCAAGGCCAGAAGGAGCGACUCCAGCUGCAGCGCAGAAGUCUGCCAAUGCACCAGGCACGGGAGGAGCUGGUGAAGCUCAUUCGCGACAAUCGCGUGGUGAUCAUUGUGGGUGAGACCGGAUCGGGCAAGACGACGCAGCUGCUUCAGUAUCUCUAUGAGGAGGGCUUCCACUUGGGCCCGAAGGCGCGAAAGCGGCUUCUCACCACCCCUGCAGGGGCUGCGGCUUCCUCGAAGGUGAAGGCUGAAGCUGAUGGCAAAGGCGAUCGUGCGAUGGUGGACGAGGAGCAGGAGGAAGAACUACGACUGAUCUGCACGCAGCCUCGACGAAUCGCUGCGAUUAGCGUUGCAGAGCGCGUCGCCCAGGAGGUUGGGUGCCCGUGCGGCAGCGUUGUGGGAUACAAGGUGCGUUUCGAUGACAAGACGGGCCCCCUCACCCGCAUCCUUUUCGUGACAGACGGCAUGAUGCUGAAGGAGUUCACAAACGACCCCGAUCUGUCCUCGGUCGGGGCCAUCAUGGUCGACGAGGCCCACGAGCGUUCUCUGAGCACCGACAUCCUGCUCGGCCUCCUGCGCGACGUCAUUCGCCGCAACCCGGACCUCAAAGUCAUCGUUGCCAGUGCCACCAUCAACGCCGAAAAGUUCAGCGACUUCUUCGAUAAGGCGCCAGUGUUCACCGUGAGCGGACGGACCUACCCAGUGGAGCUCUUUUACUCAGACGAGCCGGUGGCUGACUACGUGACGGAGUCGGCCCAGACGGUGCUGGGCCUGCACCUGUCCAAACCUCUGCCUGGCGAUGUUUUGGUAUUCCUGCCGGGCCAAGACGCGAUCGAGACGUGCGCGGAGACCCUUCAAUCGUACAUGGAUGAGGCGAAGGGCCGGCUGCGGCCGCUUCUUAUUCUCCCGAUUUACUCGUCGAUGCCACCAAAGGAGCAAGCCCGCAUCUACGAGCGCACGCUGCCCGGCACGCGCAAGGUGGUGAUCGCGACGAACAUUGCCGAAACGUCCAUCACGAUUGAUGGCGUCGUCUACGUGGUGGACUGUGGACUGUGCAAGCAGGACUACUACAACCCGCAGGCGAUGGUGGAGGAGCUGCGGGUGGUGCCGACGUCGCAGGCAAGUGCAACGCAGCGCGCGGGGCGAGCCGGGCGAACACAGCCGGGUGAAUGCUAUCGCCUCUUUACAGCCUACACCUUCCACAACGAGCUGCCGCCAGAGACGAUACCGGAGAUUUUGCGGUGCUCGAUGAGUGCAGUUGUUCUACAGCUCAAGGCGCUCGGCAUUCACAACCUCCUCCAGUUCGACUUUCUUGAUGCGCCGUCGACUGCGUCGCUGGAGCGGGCGUUAGACCACCUUUUUCUGCUCGGUGCAAUGAAGGCGGAUGGCCGGCUGACUGUCACGGGGCGGCGCAUGGCUGAGUUCCCGCUGGAGCCGUCUCUGAGCAAGUGCUUGAUUCGGGCGUGCACGCUGGGCUGCGGGCGGCACAUGGCUAUGGCAGCCGCCAUGAUCACGCUGGACUCCAUCUUCAUUAACACGCGCGAUGCAAAGGAGCGGCAGCACAUCAAGAGCGCCAGGGAACAUCUUUUCGGUUUUGGUAACGGCGACGUGACUGGCUACAUCCGGCUCAUGGAGGAGUGGCUGCGUGCGGGCCCGCGCGCUGGCGAGUUUUGCCGCUCCAACUGCAUCAACGCGCGCUCGAUGCUGCGCGCACGGGAUGUAUUGGACCAGAUUUUGAAGACGUUCGACCGCAUCGGCCUUGACGUGGAGCGUGUGCCGUCCAAGAGCCACAGCGACGGAAAGGACCUCGACGACGAAAACGAUGCGCUCGAGAAGGUGCUGAGCGCAGCCGCGAAUCAGAUCGACGUGGAGGCCGUUACUAGGGCUCUUCUGUCUGGGUUCUUCUUCAAUGUGGCGAAGCUGGAGGCGGACAAGUGGUCAUACUUGGUGGUCCGACCGAUGGACACCAGCGUGCCAACUGGGGCGAAGCGGCUCGAGAGCGCGGGCACAGCAGAAGCUUCCGUUGCCGAGAUUCACCCUGCCAGCUUUCUCUUUGGAGCCGGACGCAAGUCUAACGCGCAUCGCACCCCAUCAGUCACCACCGACGCUGAGGCUGGUGUUCCCCCGGUGCUGCGAGAGAGGCCAGGUCUCGUCGUGUUCCUGCAGAUGCGGCGGUCGACGAAGCGCUUCAUGACGCACGUCACCGCCAUCGCGUCUGCGGAGUGGGUUCUGCAGAGCGCUCCUGUGAACUACUUUCGGCCGGAGGAGCUCGAGACGGGCCUGCGCAAACGACAGCGCGCGUGAUCAUCUGCAUCAUGCAAAACCUACCCGAAAAAAAAAUAAGGAGUGCAAUGUGGUAUAGCGCGGCGCGCAGUAUAGAGACGGUACGAGAUGUCGAAGCGGCGCUUUCUGGAGCCGGUCUUUCGUGGCAUGGCGCAGCAACAACCGCCACGGCCACCCUUGCACGAACGCUCAUGCACAGCCGCAUUCCCCCCCCCCCACACACACACCUCUGCCUAGGUCUUGCAUGAUCGCUUUGUACACUAUAACUGAGGGAGAAAAAAAA
rnacentral:misc_RNA from 1 species